AUCAGGGUGCCUCCACCAUGGCCUGGACCCCUCUCCUCCUCGGCCUCCUCGCUCUCUGCACAGGCUUUGCAGCCUCCUAUGAGGUGACUCAGCCACCCACAAUGUCAGUGUCCCUGGGACAGACGGCCAGGAUCACCUGUGGAGGAAACAACAUUGGAAGCAAAGUUGUUCACUGGUACCAGCAGAAGCCAGGCCAGGCCCCUGUGCUGGUCAUCUAUGGUGAUAGCAACCGGCCCUCAGGGAUCCCUGACCGAUUCUCUGGCUCCAACUCGGGGAACACGGCCACCCUGACCAUCAGUGGGGUCCAGGCCGAGGACGAGGCUGACUAUUACUGUCAGGCAAUUGACAGCAGUAGUAAUGCUCACAGUGACACAGACAGAUGGGGAAGUGAAACAAUAACCCCCUUCUCUGUCUAUGUCACUUUCUCCUCCAGCCAGAAGAGGACUGGUGACAAAGCCAUGAGCAGGUCUGGCCCAGGUCCCUAG